rnacentral:rRNA from 1 species
UACGGGGGGGGCAAGCGUUGUUCGGAAUUACUGGGCGUAAAGGGCUCGUAGGCGGCCAACUAAGUCGGAUGUGAAAUCCCCAGGCUUAACCUGGGAACUGCAUCCGAUACUGGAUGGCUUGAAUCCGGGAGAGGGAUGCGGAAUUCCAGGUGUAGCGGUGAAAUGCGUAGAUAUCUGGAGGAACACCGGUGGCGAAGGCGGCAUCCUGGACCGGCAUUGACGCUGAGGAGCGAAAGCCAGGGGAGCAAAACGGGG